AGCGAACGCUGGCGGCAGGCUUAACACAUGCCAGUCGAACGGGCAUAGCAAUAUGUCAGUGGCAGACGGGUGAGUAACGCGUGGGAACGUACCUUUUGGUUCGGAACAACACAGGGAAACUUGUGCUAAUACCGGAUAAGCCCUUACGGGGAAAGAUUUAUCGCCGAAGGAUCGGCCCGCGUCUGAUUAGCUAGUUGGUAGGGUAAUGGCCUACCAAGGCGACGAUCAGUAGCUGGUCUGAGAGGAUGAUCAGCCACAUUGGGACUGAGACACGGCCCAAACUCCUACGGGAGGCAGCAGUGGGGAAUAUUGGACAAUGGGCGAAAGCCUGAUCCAGCCAUGCCGCGUGAGUGAUGAAGGCCCUAGGGUUGUAAAGCUCUUUUGUGCGGGAAGAUAAUGACGGUACCGCAAGAAUAAGCCCCGGCUAACUUCGUG
rnacentral:rRNA from 1 species